UGUCACGGGGUCAUUUUGAGGAUCAAAUAAGUAAAUUCAUGUGAAGUUUUAAAAUGGCACAUCGCAAGUUGCCAGAAACAUUAGCUAUUUCUUCUUACGGUGGUAUAUUCUCCCGAAACACAUCUUCUUCCAGGUCACACAAAAGGCCUAGUCAGCCAUCAACCUCCAUCUGUCUUUGAAUAAUGUGAUUGUGACACAGUUUCUUCUGUGGUUCCAAGGACCUUGAGGCCAUCUCUGUCCCAGGGGAGGCCCAUGUGCCCAACUCCCAUCCUCAACCACCCCUUCUGAGAGCUCUGAACAGAAGAUGGCACAACAGAGUCCUUGGCAGCCUUCUCUCUGAGGUUCUUCAUUUUUCGGUCAAGAGACUAUUGGCUGAGACCUUAGCUGGAGCUGUCUGUUGGGACAUCUGUACGUGACCUCUCCAUGUGGCCUGGGCUUCCUCACAACAUUGCGGCUGGGUUCCAAGAGCAAGCAUCCCAAGAAACAGAGAAAGGCAGAGGGAGAUCCCAAACCCAGACAUCUGGAGGACAUCACACGGAGAUGGGGGCAGAGACUGAAGUGACGUGGCCACCAGCCAAGGAACACCUGGAACCUCCAGAAGGUGAAAGUGUCAAGGGAAGAUCCCCAUGUAAAGCUUUUGUACAGAACGCGGCCCUUGCAUCUCCUCGGUUUUAGACUCGACUCCACAACUGGGAAAGAAUAAAUUCCUGUCAUUUUAAUCCA